UAACCUGUGGAGCUGCUGCUGCGAUGCUCAGCAGCGACACACAACACGACGACUUUGGCAAUUCUGAGGGACAACCGUGUCCAUGCAGCUGACUCAGAACUGUUGCUUUCCUCACAAUUUAUUCAUGGUUUCCUGUUGCCUGGAAACACUUGAAUAAAUUUCUGACCCAGUGUCUCACUUUUUUGGCCGUUGCCAGGUUCACUGCCCAUCUACAGCACCAGGAGAAAUAGCUCAGUGUAUCAUCUGCUUCUAAGGUGGUGAUACACCUAUCAGAGAAAUUAAAACUGCUACUGGAAUAGAUAUUAAUGCUGUCAACUCAUAAACAUUUUGACUUCUUCAUUCAUUUUUGACAACAAGCGCUGUUACUUUAAUUAGCGACUACUUAUUAUAGUGGACUAAUUUCCAUUCAGAUUAAGAUAAUAAAAUCCACUGAUCUUUUUAUCUGACAUGCCAGAUUUGAUACUUCUAUUCUCAGUUAUCAGUUAUGGUAUUUAACUAAUUUCACUGUAUUUGUUCUAUAAUUGCAAGAAAAAAGAGGCACAUGUAGAAAUCUGACCCUUCGCUAAGCCCUGCUCCCCUUAGUUACUGUUGCUAUGCUGGUAAAGCUUCCCAUUCUUGUACAGACUAUACACAGUUUUAAUAAAAAGCCGGCAGAUUCACUAUUGAAAACAUUUCAACCACAAGGAACAUAAUGUCUAAAAAACGUGAAGAAAAUCAAAAUCAUGACAGCGUUGUCCUUGUAUUGCAUUUUAAGAAUGAGCAUCAGUGUUGUAGUGCAAGCCUCAUCUGAACUAUAACAUUCAGAUAUUUAUUUUAAAAAAAAAAUGCAAAUUAAUACAACAACUUUGUUUGGAAUUCAGUUGUAUUAAAACACAAUGUAUGUCAGCACAGAGAGCAGGAGAGAAGCAAGCGGCAGACAGUGCCACCUUGGGUUGCUGUCAAAACUCUGCAUAGUGUCCCAACCUUUUCGUUGUUUGAUCAUUUUACACACGUGGACAAAAUUGUUGGUACCCCUCAGUUAAAGAAGGAAAAACCCACAAUUCUCACUGAAAUCACUUGAAACUCACAAAAGUAACAAUAAAUAAAAAUGUAUUGAAAAUUAAAUAAUCAAAAUCAGCCAUCACUUUUGAAUUGUUGAUUAACAUAAUUAUUUAAAAAAACAAACUAAUGAAAUAGGGCUGGACAAAAAUGAUGGUACCCAUAACUUAAUAUUUUGUUGCACAACCUUUUGAGGCAAUCACUGCAAUUAAACGAUUUCUGUAUUUGUCAAUGAGCGUUCUGCAGCUGUCAACAGGUAUUUUGGCCCACUCCUCAUGAGCAAACAGCUCCAGUUGUCUCAGGUUUGAUGGGUGUCUUCUCCAAAUGGCAUGUUUCAGCUCCUUCCACAGAUGUUCAAUGGGAUUCAGAUCUGGGCUCAUAGAAGGCCACUUUAGAAUAGUCCAACGCUUUUCUCUCAGCCAUUCUUGGGUGUUUUUGGCUGUGUGUUUUAGAUCGUUGUCCUGUUGGAAGACCCAUGACCUGCGACUGAGACCAAGCUUUCUGACACUAGGCAGCACAUUUCUCUCCAGAAUGCCUUGAUAGUCUUCAGAUUUCAUCGUACCUUGCACACUUUCAAGACACCCUGUGCCAGAUGCAGCAAAGCAGCCCCAAAACAUUACUGAGCCUCCUCCAUGUUUCACCGUAGGGACAGUGUUCUUUUCUUCGUAUGCUUGCUUUUUGAGUCUAUGAACAUAGAGUUGAUGUGCCUUACCAAAAAGCUCCAGUUUGGUCUCAUCUGUCCAAAGGACAUUCUCCCAGAAGCUUUAUGGCUUGUCAACAUGCAUUUUUGCAAAUUCCAGUCUCGCUUUUUUAUGAGUUUUUUUCAGCAGUGGUGUCCUCCUUGGUCGUCUCCCAUGAAGUCCACUUUGGCUCAAACAACGACGAAUGGUGCGAUCUGACACUGAUGUACCUUGGCCUUGGAGUUCACCUUUAAUUUCUUUGGAGGUUGCUCUGGGCUCUUUGGAUACAAUUCCAACGAUCCGUCUCUUCAAUUUGUCAUCAAUUUUCCUCUUGCGGCCACGUCCAGGGAGGUUGGCUACUGUCCCAUGGGUCUUGAACUUCUGAAUAAUAUGAGCCACUGUUGUCACAGGAACUUCAAGCUGUUUAGAGAUGGUCUUAUAGCCUUUACCUUUAAGAUGUUUGUCUAUCAUUUUUUUUCGGAUGUCCUGGGACAAUUCUCUCCUUUGCUUUCUGUUGUCCAUGUUCAGUGUGGUACACACCUUUUCACCAAACAGCAGGGUGACUACUUGUCUCCCUUUAAAUAGGCAGACUGACUGAUUAUGAGUUUGGAAACACCUGUGAUGUCAAUUAAAUGACACACCUGAGUUAAUCAUGUCACUCUGGUCAAAUAGUUUUCAAUCUUUUAUAGAGGUACCAUCAUUUUUGUCCAGGCCUGUUUCAUUAGUUUUUUUUUUUUUAAUAAUUAUGUUAAUCAACAAUUCAAAAGUAAUGGCUGUUUUUGAUUAUUUAAUUUUCAAUAAAUUUUUAUUUAUUGUUACUUUUGUGAGUUUCAAGUGAUUUCAGUGAGAAUUGUGGGUUUUUCCUUCUUUAACUGAGGGGUACCAACAAUUUUGUCCACGUGUGUAAGUACUUCCUUAUGCUCAGAGAGUUGUAUCUUCAGAAACUUUUACAAUGCGCAGAAUCAGACUCUGGUGCCAACUAACAUUGUCUAAAACUGUAACAGUGACUGCAGCUGACCAGUGACUGGAGCCAAAAAUGACAACAAAAAAAAAAAAGCAUUUGUUGCAAUGAAUUAAAGCAAUUUAGGCAGAAAUAAAAGAAGAAGAAAAUGCAGAAAGUUUCAAUAUUGAGGUCAAAGUACACUGCCUGUCCAUAAGAAGAGUCACCACUUGGAUUUAACUAAGUAAAUAGGUAAGAGCCUUCCACUGGACAAUUACUGCAGUGAUGAAUAUGUUUCAGCUGCAACAACUUAUUUGAAACAACCAUGUUGGAGGACAUAUCCUGUGAUCAUGGAAAGGAUGUUAAUCUGUUUCAGAAUGGUGAAAUUAUUGUCCUGCAUCAAGCAAAGAAAACAACUAAGGAGAUUUCUGAAACUAUUAAAAUCAGGUUAAGAAAAAUCCAACACAUUUUUAAAACCUGUAAGGAUAGUGGAGAACCAUCACCUUCCAGGAACAAAUGUGGUCAGAACUAUGGAAUGAAUUUCCUAUCAUAAUUCAAGAGCAUUUUAAAUUGAUUUGAGGGCAGCAUUUAUCGAUUUCAUUCUCAGAUUUUGUGAUAUUGUCUCUCAGAACUCUGCUCUCGCGCUCAAAUUUGCUCUGCGCGUGCUCAAACUGUGUCCUCGCACUCGGUUAAGAUGGUGCUCGCGCAGAUUUCCUGCGCUCAAACUCUUCCUCUUGCUCUCACGGAGCUUCUGCUCACGGAUCUCUGCUCUCAGAUUUUUUGUGUAUCAACGCUGUCAACCAAUAGAAGGCCGGCGAGCUUUGACCAAUCAGAUUAUCCCUGUUUGUAUACGGGUGCGUUCGCUGUUUUCCGAGGAGCGUCGCAUACGGGCGGGCACUCUUUCAACAGGUUUUAUCCACUCCCUACCUCCGGGACUGUAAUAAAUGUGAUUUCUUUUAUUUUUUGACCACUGUUGGAAUAAAAUAUCAUUCAAUGCAUACAACAGCGUCCGAGCUUCUCAUUAAAAUUGCUAUAUUGUAUAAUAAUAGCGGCAUCGAACACUGCUCUUUGAGGUGUCCUGGUGGAGAAAACAAUGUCACCACGACGCCGCUCGGGGACGGCUGCCAUCUUGGUCCGGUCAUCGUACUUACAGUUCAGCAGCAGAAAGAAACAGAUGCCACAGCACUGUGCCGCAUAUUCGUGUUCAAAACGCCGGAUCGUCGAAAACAGGGCACGAUGGAUUACUUUUCACAAGUAAGAUUGAACAUUACUAUUGGUUGUAUUCUGUGAAUCGAAUAUUACUGUGCUGUAUUUAUGCCCACCAGCGAAAUCAUGGCCAGCUAGCUAGGCUAUGUUUACUGCUGGUGUUGACCCGUCUGUGAACUGAGACUUUAUAAGUCAUAUUCCACUGACUUAGAUUACAACUGACACAGGAAAGCUAAAAUAUAUAUUACUGGUAUAACAUUGACCAGUGAAUUUUACACAGGUGGCACAGACUGUAUUGUUCACAUGUAAUUCACCCUAACAACAGUAAGCUAGCUCUAAUGUCUCAUACCCACCCACUUACUUAAAAAUACAGACAACUGAACAUCUGACUGUAGAAUAAUUUGCAAACAAACUUAUUCACAGUUUAAGCAGUUUUGGUUCAUUAUCAACUGAUAUGCAUCAAAAAUAGGAGUUUUGUUGAAGAAAGGUUGUAAGAAACUUGAAGAAAACCUCUUGACCUCUUUUGUAAGAUGUUUUUGUAUAGACUCUCCCAAAUCUUCCAUUUUCAUUUUGAAGGUGAUGUGAUGUGUGCCGUGCAAGCUUGGUCAGAGAUGCUGUACCAUCAUCAUUUGACGAGAGCUACCACCUUCUAGCUCUGAAAAACAAUGGAGGCCUACUGAUUCCAUCACAAGGCACAGUGAAGGUGCUGAGAGUUGCAGAGAGGGUGAUUCGCCAGGCUUCAACAAAACAAGCUCCAAAGGUGUCAACAGUCACACACAACGUUCGGGAGGAGAUUGGAAUGGAGGUGGUUUUUCUGCUUGGGGAACACAUUGAAGAAAGACAGUUUCGUAUCGACAACCAUCAUUCCAGCUUGUUGUCAUUGGUUAUGUCCGUGGCUGCACCAUAUUGCCAAACUUACCUGUCUUGACCUGCAGAAAGGGAGCACGAGAAAGAAGCUCUGCAAAACAGUCCUCUUUCAUUGGUUUUAGCUGUAAAACGUUUGUACAUGUGUAAAUGUGGUUUAGGGCAGGGAUGUCAUGUUCUUGUGUUAACUUGAGAAUUUACAUUUACAUUACAUUUUAUUCUCUCUACAUACAUGAUUUAUAUAUGUAGUAUGAUUUUCUCUGAUAUAUAUAACUUUUACAUAUAUAUGUGAAUGUUGAUACUCCAUCUAUGAUUUUUAUAUAUAUUCCUUUUCUCUGAUAUAUAACUUAUCUCUACUGUUUUAUAUAGAAAUAUGUGUUCAUUAGUCAGUAUAUGUAAGUACCACUUCCUGAUGAGGAUAGGAUCCAAUUAUUAAUGAUAUAAAUCGUUUUCAAAACAAAACAAAGAAAAUACAAGGAUAUAUAAAUACAUUUUGUAUGGUGUUCAUGUAUAUUUAAAACCAGGUAUAUGAUCAAAUAAAUAUUAUAUAGUUUUCAUUAAAAUUAAUAUAAAAAUAA